rnacentral:rRNA from 1 species
GUUGGGUAGGGGAGCGUUCUGUAAGCCUGUGAAGGUGGCCUGUGAGGGUUGCUGGAGGUAUCAGAAGUGCGAAUGCUGACAUAAGUAACGAUAAAGCGGGUGAAAAGCCCGCUCGCCGGAAGACCAAGGGUUCCUGUCCAACGUUAAUCGGGGCAGGGUGAGUCGACCCCUAAGGCGAGGCCGAAAGGCGUAGUCGAUGGGAAACGGGUUAAUAUUCCCGUACUUGGUGUUACUGCGAAGGGGGGACGGAGAAGGCUAUGUUGGCCGGGCGACGGUUGUCCCGGUUUAAGCGUGUAGGUGUGUGUUCCAGGUAAAUCCGGUUCACUUUAACACUGAGGCGUGACGACGAGGCACUACGGUGCUGAAGCAACAAAUGCCCUGCUUCCAGGAAAAGCCUCUAAGCAUCAGGUAACAUCAAAUCGUACCCCAAACCGACACAGGUGGUCAGGUAGAGAAUACCAAGGCGCUUGAGAGAACUCGGGUGAAGGAACUAGGCAAAAUGGUGCCGUAACUUCGGGAGAAGGCACGCUGACACGUAGGUGAAGUGAUUUACUCAUGGAGCUGAAGUCAGUCGAAGAUACCAGCUGGCUGCAACUGUUUAUUAAAAACACAGCACUGUGCAAACACGAAAGUGGACGUAUACGGUGUGACGCCUGCCCGGUGCCGGAAGGUUAAUUGAUGGGGUCAGCGCAAGCGAAGCUCCUGAUCGAAGCCCCGGUAAACGGCGGCCGUAACUAUAACGGUCCUAAGGUAGCGAAAUUCCUUGUCGGGUAAGUUCCGACCUGCACGAAUGGCGUAAUGAUGGCCAGGCUGUCUCCACCCGAGACUCAGUGAAAUUGAACUCGCUGUGAAGAUGCAGUGUACCCGCGGCAAGACGGAAAGACCCCGUGAACCUUUACUAUAGCUUGACACUGAACAUUGAGCCUUGAUGUGUAGGAUAGGUGGGAGGCUUUGAAGCGUGGACGCCAGUCUGCGUGGAGCCGACCUUGAAAUACCACCCUUUAAUGUUUGAUGUUCUAACGUGGACCCGUUACCCGGGUUGCGGACAGUGUCUGGUGGGUAGUUUGACUGGGGCGGUCUCCUCCUAAAGAGUAACGGAGGAGCACGAAGGUUGGCUAAUCCUGGUCGGACAUCAGGAGGUUAGUGCAAUGGCAUAAGCCAGCUUGACUGCGAGCGUGACGGCGCGAGCAGGUGCGAAAGCAGGUCAUAGUGAUCCGGUGGUUCUGAAUGGAAGGGCCAUCGCUCAACGGAUAAAAGGUACUCCGGGGAUAACAGGCUGAUACCGCCCAAGAGUUCAUAUCGACGGCGGUGUUUGGCACCUCGAUGUCGGCUCAUCACAUCCUGGGGCUGAAGUAGGUCCCAAGGGUAUGGCUGUUCGCCAUUUAAAGUGGUACGCGAGCUGGGUUUAGAACGUCGUGAGACAGUUCGGUCCCUAUCUGCCGUGGGCGCUGGAGAACUGAGGGGGGCUGCUCCUAGUACGAGAGGACCGGAGUGGACGCAUCACUGGUGUUCGGGUUGUCAUGCCAAUGGCACUGCCCGGUAGCUAAAUGCGGAAGAGAUAAGUGCUGAAAGCAUCUAAGCACGAAACUUGCCCCGAGAUGAGUUCUCCCUGAGACUUUAGGUCUCCUGAAGGAACGUUGAAGACGACGACGUUGAUAGGCCGGGUGUGUAAGCGCAGCGAUGCGUUGAGCUAACCGGUACUAAUGAACCGUGAGGCUUAACCUUACAACGCCGAAG